rnacentral:rRNA from 1 species
AUGAACGCUGGCGGCGUGCCUAAUACAUGCAAGUCGAGCGAACAGACGAGGAGCUUGCUCCUCUGACGUUAGCGGCGGACGGGUGAGUAACACGUGGAUAACCUACCUAUAAGACUGGGAUAACUUCGGGAAACCGGAGCUAAUACCGGAUAACAUGUUGAACCGCAUGGUUCAACAGUGAAAGACGGUUUUGCUGUCACGUAUAGAUGGAUCCGCGUCGCAUUAGCUAGUUGGUAAGGUAACGGCUUACCAAGGCAACGAUGCGUAGCCGACCUGAGAGGGUGAUCGGCCACACUGGAACUGAGACACGGUCCAGACUCCUACGGGAGGCAGCAGUAGGGAAUCUUCCGCAAUGGGCGAAAGCCUGACGGAGCAACGCCGCGUGAGUGAAGAAGGUCUUCGGAUCGUAAAACUCUGUUAUUAGGGAAGAACAAAUGUGUAAGUAACUAUGCACGUCUUGACGGUACCUAAUCAGAAAGCCACGGCUAACUACGUG